rnacentral:rRNA from 1 species
AUGAAAACCUGCUUAUCCCAUAUAAUUAGUGACCACUCCCUUGACUUUCUCUGUUUGCAAGAAACUUUAAAAAAGAAUUUUAUGGAUAGUUAUUUUAGGAAGCUUGACCCACAUAAUUUGUUUGAGUGGGAAUGGAUCCCCUCAAUUGGUAAGGCCGGGGGAAUUCUAUGUGGGGUUAGAAAGGAGAAAUUUGAAGUAGUUGCUUGGAGAAAAGGCAGGUUCAUUCUUUAGGUAUCUCUCUAUGAUAUCAAAAUGAAGAAAAUUUGGACACUCUGUAAUGUUUAUGGACCAGCCCAUGAGUGUGAUAAAAGUGAAUUCCUUAGUGAAUUGGCUGAUUUUUGCUGCCAUAUUCAAACACCAUUAUUGAUCGGGGGUGAUAUCAAUAUCCUCAGACAUAGUGGGGAGAAGAAUAAGAGAUGGCAUCACUCAGCACACUCUGACCUGUUUAAUUUGAUCAUUAAUACUAUGUGUCUGAAUGAGAUUCAUAUGAGUGGGGGGGCUUAUACUUGGUCUAAUAACCAAGCUCAUCCUACCUUGGAGAAAUUGGACCGUGUGCUUAUGAGCAAUGAUUGGGAGGAUAUGUUUCCUCUUGUUAAUAUGAAAAAGCUCGUUAGGGAAGUCUCUGACCACAAUGCUCUCCUAUUGUACUAUGAUAAUCACGUUAUUAGAGAUCCACAAAAAAAAGAGUUUAGAUUUGAGCUGAGCUGGUUAAAUCUGAGGAUUUUAUUCCUCUAG